GUUUCUUUUUCUGCAUCCGCUGCUCUGUUAAGUGAUCACCACAUUCAUUGUUCUCGUUUCUAUUAUUUCUGAAAAAAAUCUUCAGGAUUCUGCUUGUGGGAGUGGAUGACAUUUUUACAGUGUUUACAGGCUGAAAAUUUUUCGAGCUUUUAUGCUCUGCUUCCGUUAUAAGGAGGAGGCCUCACAAUCCUGGUGGAAGGCAAGGAGGAGCAAGUCACAUCUUAUGUGGAUGGCAGCAGGCAAAGAAAGCUUAUGCAGACACAAAAUGAACAAGAUGUCUGUGGCAACCCUCAGACCAUUGACGCCUUCUCUCCUAUGUAUCAAAUCACACAUUUGGACGUUGACUGAACCCUCACAUGUCAGAUGCUCAAUAUUGAGGUAUAGUAAAAGGGAGCAUGAACUUGAGAAAAUACGCUUUCAACACAAAGCUGUAAUAAUAUAAGGUCAAAUAAGAUUCUGCAUUGGAGAUAGAAAACUCUGAAGGAAGCUUUAUCUAUUCCAGAAUGUCAUAUAGCUGGUAUAAGAAAGAACACUAAUCAUUCCUAAGGAAGAAAAUUAACAACGCCGUGAGUUAUAAUAUCUGGCUGAAACUGAAGGAGCUCUGUGUAAUUAAAAGUCCUUUCUGCCCUGCCUGGCCAUGGUUCUGUAUGCAUUGAUGUCUUACAAACUGAAAAAAAAAAAAGUUAUUUUCUCAUCUCCAUUCCCUAGCAUAGAGGUUCAGGGGGCCCAUGUACAGGUUUGUUACAUGGGUG
rnacentral:lncRNA from 1 species